rnacentral:lncRNA from 7 species
GUGAUUCACCCAGCUGGUGCUGGCCAGGCUAUUUAAGUACUUCCAGCAGUCAACAGUGCUGUUUUGCCUGUGAGGAAGUAAAAGGUUUUUGGUUUAUUGUAUUGCCCAGUGCUUGGUGGCCGUGCCCUGCUCCUGGCUGUGCCCAGGGGGAUGCUAAAGACCUGCAGUGGCAAUAGGACCCCUAGUUGUUGGAGUGCACCAAGCACCUUUGUCCCAUCGCUCUCACCGUGCCAGGAGAAGAGUAAAGUCGUCAUGGUUUCUGCAGACUGUCAGCAGUGCUGUCGGAGCAAGCUGAAGCUUUUGGAGAGAAACAGCGCUUGGGAGUGGUGCAGAACUGGAAAUGGCUUUUGAAUCUUUCUGUUAUACUGUACAGUAAAUGGCUGGGAUACCUCUAAUAGUGAGGAAGGAGCUGUCUGGCUGGCUGAGGCUGUGCUGCUGCAGGGGUUGCUGCAGCAGCAGUGCUGUGGUCCCCACGGGCAGCAGCAUCCCACCCGCUGCUCCUGGAUGGGUGCCUGGGGCAAACGCUGCAGGAAGCACACUGCACAGAACUGAGAUACCCGAGAUAGAAACCAGUACCUGCACUGGGAGAAACUGGGGAGCUGGUGUUCUUUCCCAGCAGCACUGGGCUGUGCAUGCAGUCCUGAGGCCAGAGGAGGAGGGCUGACCACAACAUUACACACAUCACAGACCUGCCACAACCCUCUGCAUGUGUGGGGAAGAGGAAGUCCUGCCCAAGCUCACUGGACACUCAGGGAAUUGCCCAGAGCCCAGCAGACAGGACCUGUUUCCAUCGCACAGAGGUGUACCGGGCUGCUACACGUGAGUGUUAUACCCAUGAGCACUCGUGAUGGUGGUGGUGGAAGAGGUCACUCUGGCUGUGUUGGAUCAAGUCCUGAGAGCGUUCCUUCAGGGUGGAAGAGCCUGAGCGAUGCUGUUCCUUUUCUGACUCCUCCAAAGGCCAUCAAAGUCCUCCAGGUAAAGCAAGGAAGUCAGGACAUGGCAGCUCUAAUGUAAGACUGUGGGAAGAGGAGACAGCUGCUUUAAAAAGCAACCUUUGCAAGGUCGUCUCUGAGCAACGCAGAGCAGCAGCACAGAGCUCGAGCACUUUUCUGCAAUUCAGCUUGAAAAGGCUGCAUCUUGCCCUUCCUUUAUGGGAAAGAACACAUGUGAUGACAGGUCCCCAGAGCUUUUAUUUUGAAGCCAAAUGCUUAGAGUGCAUGAAGACAGCAAAAGCCUUUUCCUUCAGGCGAUACAAAUCAAAUAAAUGGAGGCGCUGCACUGCAGUUCUGUGCAACUGACUUGCACACAAACUGCACGUGUGUCUGAGCAUCCGAAAUGCAGCCCUGAUGGGAGGUGCUGGGUGCUGUCAGCAGCCCUCCUGCCCCAGCUGUUUCCUACCUGCUUGGGGCCGGGGUGUCUGCCCAUGACUUGACUUUGCCACGCUGGACAAAUGUUCUUCAAUGUAAAUUGAAUAGUAAGCUAUGCUAAAGGCACAAAAUAAAAAAGCAAGUGGAUUUUGU